UCGAAGAGUACGAAAUGAGGAAGAUAUGAAUUUGGAAUUACUAAUCAAUCUGCAGAAACAGUUGCUGAGCGAUCGAUUGAUAAUCUCUUACAUUUGUGUAAUCUAUUGUCAAAUUCACAAUGAUCAGAUGAGCAAGAUGGUACCAGUACUAUAAUUCAGAAAUAACACGAGAAAAGUCAGCUCACUUGAUGACGCAGCUGGGCUAAACAUGGUAGAGUUCUAUCCAGAUCAUGCGUUUCCUCCUCCUAACCUAUGAUCCAAGAUGAUAACCGAAUGGGAGAAAUUAUAUGCAAAAGCAUUUGCAACAUCAGCUGUGUGUAAAGUCCUCAUAAGCAUAAAUUUCAGGGUUGGAAGCAGUGAACAACCAAGCCAAUCUGCAUAUGCUAGGACGACUGGAAGAGAGAGUGGAGUUCAUAGUUUAUCUGCACUUAAUCUAAACCAUUGGAUUUGCAACUUGCAAGUUAGUAUUUCAGUUGGUCUAUGGCUGUCAGAUCUGCAGAAUCGUAUCGGUAAAAACCAAUAUUGCCUCCACCUAGUGAAGAUGGUUGUGAAAUGUCAGGUUCAUAGCUCAGUAUUUGCACACAACCAAGUGCGUCACUCCAGAUAUUCUACGUGAAAGCAAUGAAGGAAUUUCAGAUGAAUAGAUAUUCGUAAUUUCUGGAUUCUGGCCUCAUUUGAUUAGAACAAUGGCACUGGAUCUAUCAAUUUGUAGCAA